rnacentral:tRNA from 1 species
GGGGUAUUAGUCUAGUGGUUUAGAUGUGGUACACUGAACGAUGCCUGCUUUGGGUGCAGGAGGUCCUGAGUUCAAUCCUCAGAUGCCCCC